rnacentral:tRNA from 2 species
AAAAAUUUAGUUAAAUAUAUAACAUUAGCUUGUCAAGCUAAAAUUAUUAAUUAUUAAUAAUUUUUA